rnacentral:tRNA from 1 species
GAUUCUUUAGUAUAAAUUAGUAUGUUUGACUUCCAAUCAAGAGGUUCCAAGGAUUA